UACAGAGGGUGCGAGCGUUAUUCGGAAUUACUGGGCGUAAAGCGCACGUAGGCGGCUUGGCAUGUCGGGUGUGAAAUCCCCGGGCUCAACCUGGGAACUGCAUCCGAAACUGCCUUGCUCGAGUAUGGGAGAGGGAAGUGGAAUUUCCGGUGUAGCGGUGAAAUGCGUAGAUAUCGGAAGGAACAUCAGUGGCGAAGGCGACUUCCUGGACCAAUACUGACGCUCAGGUGCGAAAGCGUGGGGAGCAAACAGG
rnacentral:rRNA from 1 species